ensembl:lncRNA
GUAGUGGUUUCUUCUUCUUUCUCUUCUUCUUCCUUCUCUUUCCCUCCUCCUCCUCCUCCACCACCACCUCCUCCUCCUCCUCUUCCUCCUCCUCGCCGAUCUCUAUGGCGGAUUCGUGCUGGGGGGAGAGAGAGAUCACUCACUGUAGGUUUGUGGCUGCUGUCAGAUCCCCGUCUGUGAGUGAUAUGCGAGAGGACAGGAGCGGGUUUGGGAAAGACAGAAAAUCUGGAAUUCACUCACUCACACACUCACACACACACAGACACACACAGACACACACACACACGCACGCACUCUCGCUUCCUCUCACACACACUCACACCCCCCACAUAUGCACACACACACAAACACACACACACACACUCUCACACACACACAAGACAGGGCGAGGCGAUGCCAGCAAACAUCGAUCCCGCUGAACAAACUGAACAUUAACAAACUCCUCCUCCUCCUCCUCUCCCCGCGACCUGAUGACAGGGAGAAAUUUACUCCCCAGCCGCAGAGCGCCAGGCAGAGGGAGUCUAUUAAAGGGACAGUGUCCCGCCAGGGAGAGGGGCUGAGGGCGGGGACCCGGGCGUGCCGCCGGGCUAGGGCUCCUCGGUGCGCCCUUUUCGCUGGUGCAAGAAUUUGCCCACCAGGCGCGGGGACACCCCUCCAGGGAGGGGAUGAGAAGGGAGGAGAUGCGCGAGAAAAGGGGGCAGGGUGAUGGCUUAACUCCGCCGCUGGGAAGGGAGACGCAGGGGGCCCGGUUAGCUGACCAGCGGGGACCUUUAACAACAUUAGGAGGAUGCCCGGUGCCAAGUCUUUAAACUCACACCUUCUGUGACUCAGUGACUCCUCUAUCGUGCCUUCCCCUGCUCCUGCAGAAGUGAAUUGAGGGGUAGGUCAGCUGGACAGCUGCCCAGGGUACUAAGCCCCAACAAGCUUAGAAACACUAACAGAAGAAGUUGGGAAAAUAUACACUUGCCCUUCUCUGAUGGAAAAAUAUGCCACUGUAGAGAGAAAGAAGCAAAGAUAACACCAGCUGGAGUUGGCUUUGGGGCUGUUACUUCUUUCCCAUGAUCAGUCAUGCAUUUUUGUGGUAUUGAUCCUUGGCCCAGACCCUGACUGGCUAAAGCCAAUAAUUCUAUCCCAUCGCAUCUCUCUGGCCGCCAUUAUUUGAUCCAUGAUGGCAGAAACCCAGUCAGAACCACUGAAACCUGUGGAGAAGUCUUCUAGGGCUUCUGGGAAAAAGAAAGUUCUCUCCCCUCCUUGAAAGCCACUCCUUCUGUGAUCCGUAUGGUGUGAAGACAUAAAGACCUGAACAGCUUCUUUACUACUAGGUCAGAAGACCACGGAACUGCCAAUGGGAAGCCAUUUGAGGCCUGAAGAAGCAAGUGAUGCUUUGGAAUGCAAAGAGGAAAUAUGGAAAGGAACAAAACUGGUCCUUGAUGAUUCUAGAUCAAACUGUACCUGAAGCUGGUCCUGCCUCUGGCCUUUUCACUGACGCAAGUUUAUACAUCCCGUUAUUCUUCAAGCCAGUUUGAGUUGGAUUCCCUGUCAUUUUCAAUGGAAAGAUUUUUAACUCACCAUUUGCUUUUGUCAAAUUGAUGAUGACAUAUUAAUACCUUUUCAAUGAGUGAUGCUGGGAAAAUGGGGCCAUGCUGUGGGUUUCUGCUUCACUGUUUUCUUUAGUAUGUUGUUUUCAAUUGGAAUGAAUACCUUCUUAAAUCAUUUUCUUAGUGGUCUCCUUGUCCACACUUUACAACACAGAUCAAGUAUCACUUUCCCUAUGAAUUCAUUACUGAGCAAGAAUGAUAAACACUGGAAUUUUAGAUCUGUUGAGACUGUCCCAAGUAAAAGUUGAGUACUUGUUUUAAGUUAGAUAGACAUGAUUUUGAAACCUGACUCUCUAAUUUACUAGCUGUGUGACUUUCGACAAUUUGCCUAAACUCUCUAAGAUACUUCUCCCAACCUGUAAAAAUCCUGUUAAUAAUAGCAUCUUAUCCCAGACAACUUUUGUGAAGAUAAAAUGAAAUAGUUCAUGUACAACAAUUACCAAGGUGCUUGACACAGAAUAAAUGCUCAAUAAAUGUUGAUGCUGUUGUUAGUGUUAACAACUUAUCAAGGAACCUACCAUCUAGAAAGAGUCCAAUAAAUC